rnacentral:rRNA from 2 species
GGCCUAACACAUGCAAGUCGAACGGUAACAGGAAGCAGCUUGCUGCUUUGCUGACGAGUGGCGGACGGGUGAGUAAUGUCUGGGAAACUGCCUGAUGGAGGGGGAUAACUACUGGAAACGGUGGCUAAUACCGCAUAACGUCGCAAGACCAAAGAGGGGGACCUUCGGGCCUCUUGCCAUCAGAUGUGCCCAGAUGGGAUUAGCUUGUUGGUGAGGUAACGGCUCACCAAGGCGACGAUCCCUAGCUGGUCUGAGAGGAUGACCAGCCACACUGGAACUGAGACACGGUCCAGACUCCUACGGGAGGCAGCAGUGGGGAAUAUUGCACAAUGGGCGCAAGCCUGAUGCAGCCAUGCCGCGUGUAUGAAGAAGGCCUUCGGGUUGUAAAGUACUUUCAGCGGGGAGGAAGGUGUUGUGGUUAAUAACCGCAGCAAUUGACGUUACCCGCAGAAGAAGCACCGGCUAACUCCGUGCCAGCAGCCGCGGUAAUACGGAGGGUGCAAGCGUUAAUCGGAAUUACUGGGCGUAAAGCGCACGCAGGCGGUCUGUCAAGUCGGAUGUGAAAUCCCCGGGCUCAACCUGGGAACUGCAUUCGAAACUGGCAGGCUUGAGUCUUGUAGAGGGGGGUAGAAUUCCAGGUGUAGCGGUGAAAUGCGUAGAGAUCUGGAGGAAUACCGGUGGCGAAGGCGGCCCCCUGGACAAAGACUGACGCUCAGGUGCGAAAGCGUGGGGAGCAAACAGGAUUAGAUACCCUGGUAGUCCACGCCGUAAACGAUGUCUACUUGGAGGUUGUGCCCUUGAGGCGUGGCUUCCGGAGCUAACGCGUUAAGUAGACCGCCUGGGGAGUACGGCCGCAAGGUUAAAACUCAAAUGAAUUGACGGGGGCCCGCACAAGCGGUGGAGCAUGUGGUUUAAUUCGAUGCAACGCGAAGAACCUUACCUGGUCUUGACAUCCACAGAAGAAUCCAGAGAUGGAUUUGUGCCUUCGGGAACUGUGAGACAGGUGCUGCAUGGCUGUCGUCAGCUCGUGUUGUGAAAUGUUGGGUUAAGUCCCGCAACGAGCGCAACCCUUAUCCUUUGUUGCCAGCGGUUAGGCCGGGAACUCAAAGGAGACUGCCAGUGAUAAACUGGAGGAAGGUGGGGAUGACGUCAAGUCAUCAUGGCCCUUACGACCAGGGCUACACACGUGCUACAAUGGCGCAUACAAAGAGAAGCGACCUCGCGAGAGCAAGCGGACCUCAUAAAGUGCGUCGUAGUCCGGAUUGGAGUCUGCAACUCGACUCCAUGAAGUCGGAAUCGCUAGUAAUCGUGGAUCAGAAUGCCACGGUGAAUACGUUCCCGGGCCUUGUACACACCGCCCGUCACACCAUGGGAGUGGGUUGCAAAAGAAGUAGGUAGCUUAACCUUCGGGAGGGCGCUUACCACUUUGUGAUUCAUGACUGGGGUGAAGUCGUAACAAGGUAACCGUAGGGGAACCUGCGGUUGGAUCACCUCCUUACCUUAAAGAA